rnacentral:ncRNA from 21 species
AAGUUUGCAAUCGCAAUAGGUUCAUUACCCAAUAUGAUUAAAAAGGGAAAGCGGUGCAAAUCCGCUACUGUCCCGCAGCUGUAAGCUAUCCGCCGGGCAAACUGAAGCCACUGGUUCUGCUAAUCCGGGAAGGCGUUUGCCCCCAUUUGGAUAACAAGUCAGAAGACCUGCCAUUGCAAGUCGUUGCAUC